rnacentral:tRNA from 1 species
UUUUCCUGGAGAAUUGAGCCGCUCCCGCAGCCUGCGGGGUAGCGGACCGGUGCGUGCGAUUCGUUUGGGGAAACC